rnacentral:rRNA from 1 species
AAUCAACGCUGGCGGCGUGCCUAACACAUGCAAGUCGCACGAGAAAGGGGAGCAAUCCCUGAGUAAAGUGGCGCACGGGUGAGUAACACGUGAAUAAUCUACCUCCGAGUGGGGAAUAACUGAGAGAAAUCUUAGCUAAUACCGCAUAACACUUACGAGUCAAAGCAGCAAUGCGCUUGGAGAGGAGUUCGCGGCCGAUUAGUUAGUUGGCGGGGUAAUGGCCCACCAAGACGAUGAUCGGUAUCCGGCCUGAGAGGGCGCACGGACACACUGGAAC